GGUUAAGCGACUAAGCGUACACGGUGGAUGCCCUGGCAGUCAGAGGCGAUGAAGGGCGUGCUAAUCUGCGAUAAGCGCCGGUAAGGUGAUAUGAACCGUUAUAACCGGCGAUACCCGAAUGGGGAAACCCAGUGUGAUUCGUCACACUAUCAUUAACUGAAUCCAUAGGUUAAUGAGGCGAACCGGGGGAACUGAAACAUCUAAGUACCCCGAGGAAAAGAAAUCAACCGAGAUUCCCCCAGUAGCGGCGAGCGAACGGGGAGGAGCCCAGAGCCUGAAUCAGCAUGUGUGUUAGUGGAAGCGUCUGGAAAGGCGCGCGAUACAGGGUGACAGCCCCGUACACAAAAGCGCAUGUGCUGUGAGCUCGAUGAGUAGGGCGGGACACGUGGUAUCCUGUCUGAAUAUGGGGGGACCAUCCUCCAAGGCUAAAUACUCCUGACUGACCGAUAGUGAACCAGUACCGUGAGGGAAAGGCGAAAAGAACCCCGGCGAGGGGAGUGAAAAAGAACCUGAAACCGUGUACGUACAAGCAGUGGGAGCCCCACCACCAAAGCAUUCUCUGGUGUUGAAGGCCCUGCAAAGCAGCAUCGCGGUGGCGGAGCGUCGUUUGCGACGCCCAACACACAAAACAAGCGGUGAGUGCUUUGGGGUGGGGUGACUGCGUACCUUUUGUAUAAUGGGUCAGCGACUUAUAUUCUGUAGCAAGGUUAACCGUAUAGGGGAGCCGGAGGGAAACCGAGUCUUAAUUGGGCGUUAAGUUGCAGGGUAUAGACCCGAAACCCGGUGAUCUAGCCAUGGGCAGGUUGAAGGUUGGGUAACACUAACUGGAGGACCGAACCGACUAAUGUUGAAAAAUUAGCGGAUGACCUGUGGCUGGGGGUGAAAGGCCAAUCAAACCGGGAGAUAGCUGGUUCUCCCCGAAAGCUAUUUAGGUAGCGCCUCGUGAAUUCAUCUCCGGGGGUAGAGCACUGUUUCGGCUAGGGGGUCAUCCCGACUUACCAACCCGAUGCAAACUGCGAAUACCGGAGAAUGUUAUCACGGGAGACACACGGCGGGUGCUAACGUCCGUCGUGAAGAGGGAAACAACCCAGACCGCCAGCUAAGGUCCCAAAGUCAUGGUUAAGUGGGAAACGAUGUGGGAAGGCCCAGACAGCCAGGAUGUUGGCUUAGAAGCAGCCAUCAUUUAAAGAAAGCGUAAUAGCUCACUGGUCGAGUCGGCCUGCGCGGAAGAUGUAACGGGGCUAAACCAUGCACCGAAGCUGCGGCAGCGACACUCAGGUGUUGUUGGGUAGGGGAGCGUUCUGUAAGCCUGCGAAGGUGGCCUGUGAGGGUUGCUGGAGGUAUCAGAAGUGCGAAUGCUGACAUAAGUAACGAUAAAGCGGGUGAAAAGCCCGCUCGCCGGAAGACCAAGGGUUCCUGUCCAACGUUAAUCGGGGCAGGGUGAGUCGACCCCUAAGGCGAGGCCGAAAGGCGUAGUCGAUGGGAAACGGGUUAAUAUUCCCGUACUUGGUGUUACUGCGAAGGGGGGACGGAGAAGGCUAUGUUGGCCGGGCGACGGUUGUCCCGGUUUAAGCGUGUAGGUGUGUGUUCCAGGUAAAUCCGGUUCACUUUAACACUGAGGCGUGACGACGAGGCACUACGGUGCUGAAGCAACAAAUGCCCUGCUUCCAGGAAAAGCCUCUAAGCAUCAGGUAACAUCAAAUCGUACCCCAAACCGACACAGGUGGUCAGGUAGAGAAUACCAAGGCGCUUGAGAGAACUCGGGUGAAGGAACUAGGCAAAAUGGUGCCGUAACUUCGGGAGAAGGCACGCUGACACGUAGGUGAAGUGAUUUACUCAUGGAGCUGAAGUCAGUCGAAGAUACCAGCUGGCUGCAACUGUUUAUUAAAAACACAGCACUGUGCAAACACGAAAGUGGACGUAUACGGUGUGACGCCUGCCCGGUGCCGGAAGGUUAAUUGAUGGGGUCAGCGCAAGCGAAGCUCCUGAUCGAAGCCCCGGUAAACGGCGGCCGUAACUAUAACGGUCCUAAGGUAGCGAAAUUCCUUGUCGGGUAAGUUCCGACCUGCACGAAUGGCGUAAUGAUGGCCAGGCUGUCUCCACCCGAGACUCAGUGAAAUUGAACUCGCUGUGAAGAUGCAGUGUACCCGCGGCAAGACGGAAAGACCCCGUGAACCUUUACUAUAGCUUGACACUGAACAUUGAGCCUUGAUGUGUAGGAUAGGUGGGAGGCUUUGAAGUGUGGACGCCAGUCUGCAUGGAGCCGACCUUGAAAUACCACCCUUUAAUGUUUGAUGUUCUAACGUGGACCCGUGAUCCGGGUUGCGGACAGUGUCUGGUGGGUAGUUUGACUGGGGCGGUCUCCUCCUAAAGAGUAACGGAGGAGCACGAAGGUUGGCUAAUCCUGGUCGGACAUCAGGAGGUUAGUGCAAUGGCAUAAGCCAGCUUGACUGCGAGCGUGACGGCGCGAGCAGGUGCGAAAGCAGGUCAUAGUGAUCCGGUGGUUCUGAAUGGAAGGGCCAUCGCUCAACGGAUAAAAGGUACUCCGGGGAUAACAGGCUGAUACCGCCCAAGAGUUCAUAUCGACGGCGGUGUUUGGCACCUCGAUGUCGGCUCAUCACAUCCUGGGGCUGAAGUAGGUCCCAAGGGUAUGGCUGUUCGCCAUUUAAAGUGGUACGCGAGCUGGGUUUAGAACGUCGUGAGACAGUUCGGUCCCUAUCUGCCGUGGGCGCUGGAGAACUGAGGGGGGCUGCUCCUAGUACGAGAGGACCGGAGUGGACGCAUCACUGGUGUUCGGGUUGUCAUGCCAAUGGCACUGCCCGGUAGCUAAAUGCGGAAGAGAUAAGUGCUGAAAGCAUCUAAGCACGAAACUUGCCCCGAGAUGAGUUCUCCCUGAGACUUAGAGUCUCCUGAAGGAACGUUGAAGACGACGACGUUGAUAGGCCGGGUGUGUAAGCGCAGCGAUGCGUUGAGCUAACCGGUACUAAUGAACCGUGAGGCUUAACCUU
rnacentral:rRNA from 1 species